GCCACAAAGCUAGCUCAACUCCAAUAACAAAAUUUAUAAUAUAAAUAACUACUUAAAUACCUAAAAAUAAAAACCAAACCAUUUGACCUUCCCAGUAUGGGUGACAAAAAAGAAUUUUCUGAAGCAUAGACAA
rnacentral:rRNA from 1 species